GACGAACGCUGGCGGCGUGCUUAACACAUGCAAGUCGAACGGAAAGGCCCUGCUUUUGUGGGGUGCUCGAGUGGCGAACGGGUGAGUAACACGUGAGUAACCUGCCCUUGACUUUGGGAUAACUUCAGGAAACUGGGGCUAAUACCGGAUAGGAGCUCCUGCUGCAUGGUGGGGGUUGGAAAGUUUCGGCGGUUGGGGAUGGACUCGCGGCUUAUCAGCUUGUUGGUGGGGUAGUGGCUUACCAAGGCUUUGACGGGUAGCCGGCCUGAGAGGGUGACCGGCCACAUUGGGACUGAGAUACGGCCCAGACUCCGACGGGAGGCAGCAGUGGGGAAUAUUGCACAAUGGGCGGAAGCCUGAUGCAGCAACGCCGCGUGCGGGAUGACGGCCUUCGGGUUGUAAACCGCUUUCGCCUGUGACGAAGCGUGAGUGACGGUAAUGGGUAAAGAAGCACCGGCGAACUACGU
rnacentral:rRNA from 1 species